rnacentral:rRNA from 1 species
GAUGAACGCUGGCGGCGUGCCUAAUACAUGCAAGUCGAGCGAACAGACGAGGAGCUUGCUCCUCUGACGUUAGCGGCGGACGGGUGAUUAACACGUGGAUGACCUACCUAUAAGACUGGGAUAACUUCGGGAAACCGGAGCUAAUACCGGAUAAUAUAUUGAACCGCAUGGUUCAAUAGUGAAAGACGGUCUUGCUGUCACUUAUAGAUGGAUCCGCGCCGCAUUAGCUAGUUGGUAAGGUAACGGCUUACCAAGGCAACGAUGCGUAGCCGACCUGAGAGGGUGAUCGGCCACACUGGAACUGAGACACGGUCCAGACUCCUACGGGAGGCAGCAGUAGGGAAUCUUACGCAAUGGGCGAAAGCCUGACGGAGCAACGCCGCGUGAGUGAUGAAGGUCUUCGGAUCGUAAAACUCUGUUAUUAGGGAAGAACAAAUGUGUAAGUAACUAUGCACGUCUUGACGGUACCUAAUCAGAAAGCCACGGCUAACUACGUG